UUAAUUUUAUUGCUUAUUCUUUUCAAAGGGAUGUAAAUUUAGAUUUAUAAUAUUUUGAAAAAGGACCUGAAAAUGUGUUGGAAUAAUUGUAAAUCUGAUGAUUGCAUACAUGUAUAUAUAUAUAUACAUCUGUGUGUAUGUAUUUAUAUU